GACGAACGCUGGCGGCGUGCUUAACACAUGCAAGUCGAACGGAAAGGCCCUGCUUUUGUGGGGUGCUCGAGUGGCGAACGGGUGAGUAACACGUGAGUAACCUGCCCUUGACUUUGGGAUAACUUCAGGAAACUGGGGCUAAUACCGGAUAGGAGCUCCUGCUGCAUGGUGGGGGUUGGAAAGUUUCGGCGGUUGGGGAUGGACUCGCGGCUUAGCAGCUUGUUGGUGGGGUAGUGGCUUACCAAGGCUUUGACGGGUAGCCGGCCUGAGAGGGUGACCGGCCACAUUGGGACUGGGAUACGGCCCAGACUGCUACGGGAGGCAGCAGUGGGGAAUAUUGCACAAUGGGCCGAAGCCGGAUGCAGCAACGCCGCGUGCGGGAGGACGGCCUUCGGGUUGGAAACCGCUUUCGCCUGUGACGAAGCGUGAGUGACGGUAAUGGGUAAAGAAGCACCGGCUAACUACGU
rnacentral:rRNA from 1 species